GCUGCGUCGGUGCAGGCAGGGGAUUGAGCUCGAACUAGCUCGAAUAAAGGCUCUUUUGCUUUUGCAUCGGACUCGGCUCCCUAGUGGUCUUUGGGGAUCACGAAUUCUGGGCAUAACAGUAGCAGAAGGGAGAAUGGAUGGCAAGCAGGUAAAGGCGAGAAAGAUCUCCUCUACCAGGAAGUCCAGAGAUUCUGAGAAGGUCAUGAGAUUUUGUGCUUACUGGAUCGACUGCUUCGUUUACAACCUACUCAGCAACUCACUCAAUGAUAGAGCUUACAGAAAAAAUUCAGUGUGUGGGGAUGGGAGGUUUUGUCCUCAUGUAUGCACCGCCCUUACGAUCAUGGGGAGCUCCACAUCAAGGAGCACGCCUGUGCCGAGUGCCACAGGGAACAGCGUUUAGCAACACCAAGCAGGGAGAGGCAGAGAGCAGCGUUAACUUCACGCAGGACUUGGAAAUUGGCUUCGUCUGAUGGCAGGAGAUUGUGUGUUUUUAUGGUGUUAACUGUGGAGGGGUGAAAAGCAGCCGGCGCUCAGGAGCGCAAACGCAGCUCCUUCCCAGGAGCCCUGGUGCUCUGUGCUGUGGGAGCAUGUGCCGGAAGGGGUACCGGGGGAGAGGAGGGAUGCUUUGCGGUGCGGGGACGGGCUCGCAGGAGAUGAGGUGAUAGCGAGCAUGCACAAGGUUUGGCCUGAGUGGAGGGGAUGAGUGGGGGAAGCGUUGUGUCUCAGGCAGAACCAUUUUAGCCACCCACACGUUUACCCCACAGACCACUGAAACCAGAGACAGUCCAGCGCAGAGAGGGGAAGCCAGCAGUCACAGAAC